UGGGGAAUUUUGGACAAUGGGCGAAAGCCUGAUCCAGCAAUGCCGCGUGUGUGAUGAAGGCCUUCGGGUUGUAAAGCACUUUUGGUAGGAACGAAAAAGUCUGUGCUAAUACCACGGACUUAUGACGGUACCUGCAGAAUAAGCACCGGCUAACUACGUGCCAGCAGCCGCGGUAAUACGUAGGGUGCAAGCGUUAAUCGGAAUUACUGGGCGUAAAGCGUGCGCAGGCGGUUUUGUAAGACCGAUGUGAAAUCCCCGGGCUCAACCUGGGAACUGCAUUGGUGACUGCAAGGCUUGAGUGUGUCAGAGGGAGGUGGAAUUCCGCGUGUAGCAGUGAAAUGCGUAGAUAUGCGGAGGAACACCGAUGGCGAAGGCAGCCUCCUGGGAUAACACUGACGCUCAUGCACGAAAGCGUGGGGAGCAAACA
rnacentral:rRNA from 1 species